GGAACUGCCGGUGACAAACCGGAGGAAGGUGGGAUGACGUCAAUCAUCAUGCCCCUUAUGACCUGGGCUACACACGUGCUACAAUGGUUGGUACAACGAGUUGCGAGUCGGUGACGGCGAGCUAAUCUACUUAAAGCCAAUCUCAGUUCGGAUUGUAGGCUGCAACUCGCCUACAUGAAGUCGGAAUCGCUAGUAAUCGCGGAUCAGCACGCCGCGGUGAAUACGUUCCCGGGCCUU
rnacentral:rRNA from 1 species